rnacentral:tRNA from 1 species
GUAUGAGUAGUUUAAAUAAAACUCUGAAUUGUGGUUUCAGGAAUGGAAUUAUUUCCCUCAAACC